UGGGGAAUAUUGCACAAUGGGGGAAACCCUGAUGCAGCGACGCCGCGUGAAGGAAGAAGUAUCUCGGUAUGUAAACUUCUAUCAGCAGGGAAGAUGAUGACGGUACCUGACUAAGAAGCCCCGGCUAACUACGUGCCAGCAGCCGCGGUAAUACGUAGGGGGCAAGCGUUAUCCGGAUUUACUGGGUGUAAAGGGAGCGUAGACGGCGUAUCAAGUCUGAUGUGAAAGGCAUGGGCUCAACCCGUGGACUGCAUUGGAAACUGGUAUGCUUGAGUGCCGGAGGGGUAAGCGGAAUUCCUAGUGUAGCGGUGAAAUGCGUAGAUAUUAGGAGGAACACCAGUGGCGAAGGCGGCUUACUGGACGGUAACUGACGUUGAGGCUCGAAAGCGUGGGGAGCAAACAGGAUUAGAUACCCUGGUAGU
rnacentral:rRNA from 1 species